rnacentral:rRNA from 1 species
GCGCCCCACCCCCCACCCACACCACCACGGGAUCUCCCCGUCUCGUCCUAUCCCCACCACGGCCUCGCCCCGCCGGCUCUUAUCCCCACGACGGCCUCGCCUCGCCGGCCCUUAUCACCACGAUGGCCUCUCCCCGCCGCCUCUUGUCACCACCGCGGCCUUGCCUCGCCGCCAACCCCACGGAUCUUCCCUAGAUCGGUUCUGCCGCCGCCAUCGUACUGCCCCAGAGCAGAUCGAGAUGCGAGCUGCUGGACACGACGUGGGAGGAGGCAUCUCGAAUUGGCCCGAGAUUCAGUGCGUUGACGUGCCCGCCGCAAUCAUCGCCCCCCGUGCUUGGCUCACAUAGUCGCUCCGGGAAGGGGUUCGCAGCUCGCAUACGUGCUCGGUUGCUGAAGGCGCCUUCGCCACAUUGUCAUUCAUAUGCGAGAUGUUUCUCUUUCUCUAUGUUGGCAUGGAGGAUAUAGUGUAGUGGAAGAUUGUUAGUGAAACGCAUACAGCCCAAUGAAAUCUAUCGCCUCGAGCUCCAUUAUUUAGGCCAGAUGUCAUGAGAGGUGUUGUGUCAAUUGCAUUGGCAUACAAUAAGGUCCCUCGUAUUGAAACCGCAAUGCUCCACAGUGGAGGCAGUCCCUAACUUUCCUAAGGACGUGGUGAUUUCUGGGAAGGUUAAUGUAAACCCUAUCAUGAGGAUCAUUUGUGUUUGUUCCAUCAGUGUGACAUCGUUCAACUCGGUAGGAUUCAAAUUCAACACCUGGAACAGAAUUUGAAUAUUCAGGCAUCUUUUGAUAUGCAAAAAUGACACUAACAGAAUUUGGUUCAUACCUUGGUGGGAGAACAUCCUAGCUUCUUCAUCAUGCUCAAGGAUUGAAGUGGCGGUGGUAACAUAGUCAGUUGGGAGGACCCAAUGGCAGAGUCGAUAUUAUUGACAUUUUCCUUGUUAGAAACGGCGGUAUCUGGUGUUCUUAAUGAAUUUGGACCAUGAGGUGGAGUCUGAUCACUCAUUAUCACAUGAACAGGUUCUGAAUGGGAGUACGUAUCCCACUACGCUGAGAGGAUGACAUAUUGUCUUUUCAA